ACGUAGGUGGCGAGCGUUAUCCGGAAUUAUUGGGUGUAAAGGGUGCGUAGGCGGGACGUAAAGUCAGAUGUGAAAUGCGGAGGCUCAACCUCCGAACUGCAUUUGAAACUUACGUUCUUGAGUGGAGUAGAGGCAAGCGGAAUUCCCGGUGUAGCGGUGAAAUGCAUAGAUAUCGGGAGGAACACCAGUGGCGAAGGCGGCUUGCUGGGCUUUUACUGACGCUGAGGCACGAAAGUGUGGGGAGCAAACAG
rnacentral:rRNA from 1 species